GACGAACGCUGGCGGCGUGCUUAACACAUGCAAGUCGAACGGAAAGGCCCUGCUUUUGUGGGGUUCUCGAGUGGCGAACGGGUGAGUAACACGUGAGUAACCUGCCCUUGACUUUGGGAUAACUUCAGGAAACUGGGGCUAAUACCGGAUAGGAGCUCCUGCUGCAUGGUGGGGGUUGGAAAGUUUCGGCGGUUGGGGAUGGUCUCGCGGCUUAUCAGCUUGUUGGUGGGGUAGUGGCUUACCAAGGCUAUGACGGGUAGCCGGCCUUGGAGGGUGACCGGGCACAUGGGGACUGAGGUAGGGACCAGAAGGCAAUGGGAGGCAGUGGGGGGGAACAUUACGGAGUAGGGCGGAGUGUGAUAUGAAAACCUCGGGUGCGGAAAGACGGGCUUUGGGUUAAAAACAGAUUUGGACGUUACCGAAGCCUUAGUGACGGUAACUGGUAAAAAAGCAACGGCUAACUACGUG
rnacentral:rRNA from 1 species